rnacentral:rRNA from 1 species
GACGAACGCUGGCGGCGUGCUUAACACAUGCAAGUCGAACGGAAAGGCCCUGCUUUUGUGGGGUGCUCGAGUGGCGAACGGGUGAGUAACACGGGAGUAACCUGCCCUUGACUUUGGGAUAACUUCAGGGAACUGGGGCUAAUACCGGAUAGGAGCUCCUGCUGCAUGGUGGGGGUUGGAAAGUUUCGGCGGUUGGGGAUGGACUCGCGGCUUAUCAGCUUGUUGGGGGGGUAGUGGCUUACCAAGGCUUUGACGGGUAGCCGGCCUGAGAGGGUGACCGGCCACAUUGGGCCUGAGAUACGGCCCAGACUCCUACGGGAGGCAGCAGUGGGGAAUAUUGCACAAUGGGCGGAAGCCUGAUGCAGCAACGCCGCGUGCGGGAUGACGGCCUUCGGGUUGUAAACCGCUUUCGCCUGUGACGAAGCGUGAGUGACGGUAAUGGGUAAAGAAGCACCGGCUAACUACGUG